rnacentral:rRNA from 1 species
GAUGCGCNGCUAGAAUGCAAGUCGAACGAUUAAAGCCCCUUCGGGGGUGUAUAAAGUGGCGAAAGGGCGAGGAAUACGUUCCUACGUACCCCGAGGUCGAGGAUAGCCCAGGGAAACUUGGAGUAAUACUCGAUGUGGUCUUCGGAUCAAAGAUUUAUCGCCUUGGGAGCGGGGAACGCCCUAUCAGGUUGUUGGUGAGGUAACGGCUCACCAAGCCUUAGACGGGUAGCGGGUGUGAGAGCAUGACCCGCCGCAUCGGGACUGAGACACUGCCCGGACUCCUACGGGAGGCUGCAGUAACGAAUAUUCCGCAAUGCGCGAAAGCGUGACGGAGCAAUGCCGCGUGCAGGAUGAAGCCCCUCGGGGUGUAAACUGCUGUCAGGGUAUAGGAAGAUCUGACCAAACCCAAAGGAAGGACCGGCUAACUUCGUGCCAGCAGCCGCGGUAAUACGAAGGGUCCAAGCGUUACUCGGAAUCACUGGGCUUAAAGCGUACGUAGGCGGACAAGCAGGCAUCGUGUGAAAUCCCUCCGCUCAACGGAGGAACUGCACGGUGAACCGUUUGUCUUGAGACAAGUAGGGGCGGUCGGAACGCUAGGUGGAGUGGUGAAAUGCGUUGAUAUCUAGCGGAACGCCAAAGGAGAAAUCAGGCCGCUGGGCUUGUUCUGACGCUGAGGUACGAAAGCGUGGGGAGCGAACGGGAUUAGAUACCCCGGUAGUCCACGCCGUAAACGAUGUGCACUAGGUCGUGGUGGGUCUGACCCCUUCUCGGCCGAAGCGAAAGUGUUAAGUGCACCGCCUGGGGAGUACGGUCGCAAGGCUAAAACUCAAAGGAAUUGACGGGGGCUCAC